rnacentral:lncRNA from 12 species
CCUGGAGUGUUGAGUUCAAGAAGCUGGAAUCUUCGCCUCUCUUUAGUAUUAGCAUUCUUCUGUCUUUCCAGCAAUGCAAUCCUGUGGUAUCUUGCAUUUCAACAUUUUUUUCCUUAACGCUAGGCAAUACUGAUGUCAAGUUUCAACAGACGACAGAGGAAUAAAGUUGGUGAGAAAGAUUCAAGAAGCUACUGUUUGGAUAGUUACACCAAAAUCAAAGAUCCAAGUCUAUAUAUGCUACAGGUAAACAUAUCACUGUCACAAUGGACAGUGGCUACCCUAUUCAGGUCAUAGCUUGCAUUUUGGGAAAAUGUGUCAAUAUUUUUGAGGGUUUUUUUUUUUUUUUUUUUUGGUACUCUGCUUAUUCCCCAGACUACAUCUUGCCUCUUUACUUAUGGCCCUAUUAACACAUUAGAAGCCUUCUGUUGCAGCAGAGGAUACUGAUAGCCAAUCCAGUGAUUUGUGGGAAAUUUAUACCUAAGCAGCUGGCGAGUCAUAAAAAAGUAGCACCAGUCCCAAGAAAUAAUAAUAAUAUUAUAUAAUGGCCUUUAUAAAUAAUAUUGAUAUAAUAUAUGGCCUUUAUGAAGACGCCUGUCAUCCAUGUAAUGAACUUUUGAUUGAACAACCCUAUGGAGUUGUAUACUUUCAUCGUAAGUAGAACAUUUCAUUAUAACAGUUCACAAUUUUGCUGCCUGAUGGGUUCAGAUUCCAAUUUCCAGUGAAGUGGCUGAAUAGCUGUAUUGUUUUUUAUGAAUCAUUUUUCAGGAUGCCAAAUGUGGAGUAGGGCUUCUACAGACUGAAUGUCUGUGUUCUCUUCCCAACUCAUGUGUUAAAACCUAAUGCUCAGUGUGAUGAGAUUUGAAGGUGCAGCUUUGGGAGAUGAUUAGGUCAUGAGUAGAGCCCUCAUGAAUGGGAUUAGUGUCCUUAUAAAAGAGCUCAGAGAGUUCUCUAGUCCCUCCUGCAAUGUGAGGACACAGUGAGAAGUCGACCAUCUAUGGCCCAGGAAGCAGGCUUUCAAUAGACACUGGAUCUGCCAGUGCCUUGAUCUUCAACUUCCCAGACUCCAAAACUGUGGUCUAAUAUAAUGCCAUUCUGAAAAAUCACCCACUACCAACAUAUAGGCCUUUUAAGACAAUGACUAUCAGGAAACAUUUCAGUAUGAUAGUUUUAGCAGUUACCAGGACAAAUAAAUGACUGCGACAAGACUACUUUCUCUCUAAA